rnacentral:rRNA from 1 species
ACGGGAGGCAGCAGUGAGGAAUAUUGGUCAAUGGGCGGAAGCCUGAACCAGCCAAGUCGCGUGAGGGAAGACGGCCCUACGGGUUGUAAACCUCUUCUGCGCGGGGGUAAAGUCGGGGACGGGUCCCCGAUUGCAAGUACCGCGCGAAAAAGGAUCGGCUAACUCCGUGCCAGCAGCCGCGGUAAUACGGAGGAUCCGAGUGUUAUCCGGAUUUAUUGGGUUUAAAGGGUGCGCAGGCGGCUUUUUAAGUCAGUGGUUAAAUCGUGACGCUCAACGUCAUCACGCCAUUGAUACUGGAGAGCUUGAUUGCGGUCGAGGUUUGCGGAAUUCGUUGUGUAGCGGUGAAAUGCAUAGAUAUGACGAAGAACACCGAUUGCGUAGGCAGCAGACCAGGCCGUAAAUGACGCUCAUGCACGAAAGUGCGGGGAUCGAACAGGAUUAGAUACCCUGGUA